GGCAUAUCAAUAAGCGGAGGAAAAGAAACCAACAGGGAUUGCCCUAGUAACGGCGAGUGAAGCGGCAACAGCUCAAAUUUGAAAUCUGGCUCUCGGGCCCGAGUUGUAAUUUGUAGAGGAUACUUUUGAUGCGGUGCCUUCCGAGUUCCCUGGAACGGGACGCCAUAGAGGGUGAGAGCCCCGUCUGGUUGGAUGCCAAAUCUCUGUAAAGUUCCUUCGACGAGUCGAGUAGUUUGGGAAUGCUGCUCUAAAUGGGAGGUAUAUGUCUUCUAAAGCUAAAUACCGGCCAGAGACCGAUAGCGCACAAGUAGAGUGAUCGAAAGAUGAAAAGCACUUUGAAAAGAGAGUUAAAAAGUACGUGAAAUUGUUGAAAGGGAAGCGUUUAUGACCAGACUUGGGCUUGGUUAAUCAUCUGGGGUUCUCCCCAGUGCACUUUUCCAGUCCAGGCCAGCAUCAGUUUUCCCCGGGGGAUAAAGACUUCGGGAAUGUGGCUCUCUUCGGGGAGUGUUAUAGCCCGUUGUGUAAUACCCUGGGGGGGACUGAGGUUCGCGCAUCUGCAAGGAUGCUGGCGUAAUGGUCAUCAACGACCCGUCUUGAAACACGGACCAAGGAGUCGUCUUCGUAUGCGAGUGUUCGGGUGUCAAACCCCUACGCGUAAUGAAAGUGAACGCAGGUGAGAGCUUCGGCGCAUCAUCGACCGAUCCUGAUGUUCUCGGAUGGAUUUGAGUAAGAGCAUACGGGGCCGGACCCGAAAGAAGGUGAACUAUGCCUGUAUAGGGUGAAGCCAGAGGAAACUCUGGUGGAGGCUCGCAGCGGUUCUGACGUGCAAAUCGAUCGUCAAAUAUGGGCAUGGGGGGCGAAAGACUAAUCGAACCUUCUAGUAGCUGGUUUCCGCCGAAGUU
rnacentral:rRNA from 1 species